rnacentral:rRNA from 1 species
CCUACGGGAGGCAGCAGUGGGGAAUAUUGGACAAUGGGCGAAAGCCUGAUCCAGCAAUUCCGCGUGUGUGAAGAAAGCCUUCGGGUUGUAAAGCACUUUAGUGGGGGAAGAAACAGCUUGGCCACACCAAGCCUUGACGGUACCCCAAGAAUAAGCACCGGCUAACUCUGUGCCAGCAGCCGCGGUAAUACAGAGGGUGCAAGCGUUAAUCGGAUUUACUGGGCGUAAAGGGUGCGUAGGUGGCUAUUUAAGUCGGAUGUGAAAGCCCGGGGCUCAACCUCGGAAUUGCAUUCGAUACUGAGUGGCUAGAGUUCGGUAGAGGGCGGCGGAAUUUCCGGUGUAGCGGUGAAAUGCGUAGAUAUCGGAAGGAACAUCAAUGGCGAAGGCAGCCGCCUGGGCCUGGACUGACACUGAGGCACGAAAGCGUGGGUAGCAAACAGGAUUAGAUACCCUGGUAGUCCACGCCGUAAACGAUGAGAACUUGACGUUGGUUCGUUUUACGAAUCGGUGUCGCNGCUACGACGAUAGUUACUCCGUCCGUCGGGUAGGUACGGCCGGCGACGGUUAGUAACGUACAAUAGAAGUAGACGGCGUGAGACGUCGCCGACGGACGACGACGAGGGAGGAGG